AAAGUAAGUUGGAAAGGACUAUCGUUAGGAAGGAAAGCAUUAGCAGUCAGAAAGCUCAUUGCUAAAAGGACUUCAUAACAAUGCCAGAGAAACCAAGAUCUGAAUUCUUGGGAAUCCUUAAAAAGGAUGAAUCUUGGAUUUUCCCUGUUUGCUCCUCUCCUGACAAAUUCUGUGAUGGGUAAAUCAAAUAUAUAUCUGGCUGACAGAACUUAGCCUUACAGCUCCAAGACUUCACCAGGUGGCAUUGGCUGAAACUUAAAUAGAGAAGACCAGAUUUAACCCCAAGGCACAACUCUGCUUCCAUGGAAAUAGCUGGUUUCAUUGAGAUCUGAAUAUGCAACUCCAAAAAAUAAAUGAAAAUUUCUACUCAGCAUAU